AAAAACACAACAACAACAAAAAACAAAGAAUACAUACUCGAGAAAGGAAAUCUAAACAAAAGGACAAGAUCAACAAUAUGGAUCAGACUAGUAGCCAAGUCGAGUCUUCCAUCCAUUUCUUUUGUUUUAUCUUAUGUGUGUUCUUAAUACGAUGAAUAUUUAACCUCAAUAUAUUGCUAUAUACUUUUGUCAUCUUGCUUUAUAAUUUAACCCUCUUUUCCAAAUGCAUCUUAUGAUUAUCAUGUACUGGAAAGUAAAACAUAUACCAUACCUCGAUAUAAUGAAGAUAGAGUUAAAUAUAGUAGAGGUUGUUUAGGGUAUAAGGCAAACAACAACAUGAGAUCCAACAUAAGAUUAAAAUCACAACAGUAAUUCUUCUUCUUCAAAAAAAAAAGAAGAAAAACAAAAGAGAUAAAAGAUAUGAGGUUCAAGAAAAACGUAUAGGUGUCUUUCUCAUUCAUGAUUUGAAUGACCGUGUCCAAUAAAAAUAAUAAUAAAAGCCAACAUAUUCAUUCAUUCAUGACAUUUCAUAAAUUUAAUGCCGAGAAAAUGACUUGCACCCGAAACCGAUAAAAUUACUUGCAUCUUAAAGUCGGGAAAAUGACUCGCCCCAAAAGCCUAGAAAACAACCCACAUCUUGUAGCCGAAAAAAAUGACUUGCACUCAAAUCCGAGAAAAAUACCCGCAUCUUAAAGUCCGAAAAACAACUCGCACCCAAAACCGAGAAAACAACUCGCAUCUUGAAGUCGGGAAAACGACUCCCACCUGAAGCCGAGAAAAUGACAUGCAUCUUGAAGCUUCGAAAACGACUUGCAUCCUUCUACAAAAAUUAUUUUUCAGACAGAAUUAGAGUUGUCAUCUUUAGUUAUCGUUUACUUUGAUUCUCAAGUUAGUUCUAAGUAAAGAGGGGCAACUAUUGACACCUAAUUUUGUCCGCUAUUUUUAGGGGCAACUAUUAAAUAAUUAGGGGCAACUAUUCUCAAGUUAGUUCUAAGUAAAGAGGGGCAACUAUUAAUA
rnacentral:lncRNA from 1 species